GAUGAACGCUGGCGGCGUGCCUAAUACAUGCAAGUCGAGCGAACGGACGAGAAGCUUGCUUCUCUGAUUUUAGCGGCGGACGGGUGAUUAACACGUGGAUAACCUACCUAUAAGACUGGGAUAACUUCGGGAAACCGGAGCUAAUACCGGAUAAUAUUUUGAACCGCAUGGUUCAAAAGUGAAAGACGGUCUUGCUGUCACUUAUAGAUGGAUCAGCGCUGCAUGAGCUAGUUGGUAAGGUAACGGCUUACCAAGGCAACGAUGCAUAGCCGACCUGAGAGGGUGAUCGGCCAGACUGGAAGUGAGACACGGUCCAGACUCCUACGGGAGGAAGCAGUAGGGAAUCUUCCGCAAGGGGCGAGAGCGUGACGGAGCAACGCCGCGUGAGUGCUGAAGGUCUUCGGAUCGUAAAGCUCUGUUAUUAGGGAAGAACAUAUGUGUAAGUAACUGUGCACAUAUUGACGGUACCUAAUCAGAAAGCCAUGGCUAACUACGUG
rnacentral:rRNA from 1 species